rfam:Myotis davidii contig24576, whole genome shotgun sequence.
GGCAGUUUUCAGGUGACACACCCCAGAAUCGGGCUCCCUCCUCUCUGGUUUCAGGUGUGUCACCUGAGAACCACG